rnacentral:rRNA from 1 species
CCUACGGGUGGCAGCAGUGAGGAAUAUUGGUCAAUGGACGAGAGUCUGAACCAGCCAAGUAGCGUGAAGGAUGACUGCUCUAUGGGUUGUAAACUUUUUUUAUAUGGGAAUAAAACGUUCCACGUGUGGGAUUUUGUCUGUAUCAUCUGAAUAAGGAUCGGCUAACUCUGUGCCAGCAGCCGCGGUAAUACGGAGGAUCCGAGCGUUAUCCGGAUUUAUUGGGUUUAAUGGGUGCGUAGGUGGAUUAUUAAGUCAGUUGUGAAAGUUUGCGGCUCAACCGUAAAAUUGCAGUUGAAACUGGCAGUCUUGAGUACAGUAGAGGUGGGCGGAAUUCGUGGUGUAGCGGUGAAAUGCUUAGAGAUCACGAAGAACUCCGAUUGCGAAGGCAGCUCGCUGGACUGCAACUGACACUGAGGCUCGAAAGUGUGGGUAUCAAACAGGAUUAGAUACCCUUGUAGUC